rnacentral:rRNA from 1 species
UACGUAGGGUGCAAGCGUUGUCCGGAAUUAUUGGGCGUAAAGGGCUCGUAGGCGGUCUGUUGCGUCGGGAGUGAAAACUCAGGGCUUAACCCUGAGCCUGCUUCCGAUACGGGCAGACUAGAGGUAUGCAGGGGAGAACGGAAUUCCUGGUGUAGCGGUGAAAUGCGCAGAUAUCAGGAGGAACACCGGUGGCGAAGGCGGUUCUCUGGGCAUUACCUGACGCUGAGGAGCGAAAGCAUGGGGAGCGAACAGG